CCUACGGGAGGCAGCAGUGGGGAAUAUUGGGCAAUGGGCGCAAGCCUGACCCAGCAACGCCGCGUGAAGGAAGAAGGCUUUCGGGUUGUAAACUUCUUUUCUGAGGGACGAAGAAAGUGACGGUACCGCAGGAAUAAGCCACGGCUAACUACGUGCCAGCAGCCGCGGUAAUACGUAGGUGGCAAGCGUUAUCCGGAUUUAUUGGGUUUAAAGGGUGCGCAGGCGGAUUUUUAAGUCAGCGGUCAAAUCGUGGGGCUCAACCCCAUCCAGCCGUUGAAACUGGGGAUGUAGAGUGUGCGAGAGGUAUGCGGAAUGCGUGGUGUAGCGGUGAAAUGCAUAGAUAUCACGGAGAACCCCGAUUGCGAAGGCAGCAUACCGGUGCACAACUGACGCUCAGGCACGAAAGCGUGGGUAUCGAACAGGAUUAGAUACCCUUGUAGUC
rnacentral:rRNA from 1 species